CUCAAAGGAAUUGACGGGGGCCCGCACAAGCGGUGGAGCAUGUGGUUCAAUUCGAAGCAACGCGAAGAACCUUACCUGGGCUUGACAUCUGGAGAACCUCCUGGAAACAGGAGGGUGCCUUCGGGAGCUCCAAGACAGGUGCUGCAUGGCUGUCGUCAGCUCGUGUCGUGGGCGCCGGGGUUAAGUCCCGCAACGAGCGCAACCCCUGCCAUUAGUUGCCAUCAGGUCAUGCUGGGCACUCCAAUGGGACUGCCGGUGUUAAGCCGGAGGAAGGUGGGGAUGACGUCAAGUCCUCAUGGCCUUUAUGCCCAGGGCCACUCACGUGCUACAAUGGCCGGCACAAAGGGCUGCGAAUCCGCGAGGUGGAGCAAAUCCCAAAAAGCCGGUCUCAGUUCGGAUUGGAGUCUGCAAUUCGACUCCAUGAAGGCGGAAUCGCUAGUAAUCGCGGAUCAGCAUGCCGCGGUGAAUACGUUCCCGGGCCUUGUACUCACCGCCCGUC
rnacentral:rRNA from 1 species